GGGUCGGGAGCCUUGGGCUGUGGAGCUGUGGGGUCCUGGGUCGUGGGGGCCGGUGCUCAGGGGACGGGUCGUGUGGCUUUUCUGCAGCCCUGAUUUCUCCUCGGUCCUGGGGUUCACGGCCCUCGUCUCGCCUACCUUGGAGGGUUUCCUUGGCGUAUGUCAGAGGAAGCUGUGAGGCUCCUCACGGCUACGGGACUUGGGGGGUCCUGGGGCCCCUGUGGGAGAAGUGACCGAGGGCGGGGCUGGGGACCCGCUUUUGGAGACCAGUCACUUGGAUGCGAGGUGACUUUGCUAAAUAGCUCCUCACGGCCGGUUUCCCACCUGUGGUUCCACUAGGAGCUAACGGGCCUUCUCGCCCAGCCUAUAGCUUUCAGCCCCAGUCACGGGGUGGCCUGCAACGCCCUGGCUUGGGGACCGGAGCUCCCCUUCCGCCCCGGGACUGGAAACUGGGCCGUGAGGCAGACAGUCUCCUUUCUGGGCCGCAUUACUUGUCUGUAAAUCAGUGAUACGUUUUUCUCUGCUAGUAAGGUUGAAAUCAGAUCAUGUACAUGAACAUGAGUAGGUUUAAAAAGAUGAAGCUGCAGGAGGUUCCCACCCAAGGGCCUUCGCGUCUUCCGAUUUCUCUGGCUUUUCGUGUGGGAGGCCCCUGGUCCAGCCCCGUCCCGGUCUCGGCCUGGUUCUAGCUGUCCAGGCUGGGAGAGUUUCUCACUGAGCUUGUGUGACCCAGCUGCACUGUCUUUGCAGCCCUACCACCACCACCCUGCGUGUAGCCCUCACCAGGAUCGGCUUCAGGGGAGCAGGGGUUUUGUUGGGUUCCCUGGAGCAUCCUCAGUGUCUAGAAUAGCGCCCGGCGCACUGUGGGCCACGGAUUGGUCACUGUCUGUUGAAUGAGGGGGCAGGCAGCUUCCUGUCCGGCUCUGCAUGGCGGCCCGCUUCGCCAGAGCGGGUACGGGGUGUCUCUGUUGGUUACUCGGUUGGUCCCACAUUGGUUGCCUCUGGGCACGUGCUGGUCUGUUGAGGUGCUUGGCUGGUUUCAAGCUUUCCCUUGGGUUCAGGGAGUGGAGUGAGGCCCAGCGUUCCUAGUCAACCCCCACCUGCUGCUGCGACUCCUCAGAGGGGUUCUGAGAGAGCAUCCCUUCCGCCUGGCUUGAGACUGAAAAGACUGACUUUGCACUCCUGACUGGUUUCAGUUCCAGUGGAGCUUUUGCGUUGGUCCUGUGCUCUUUCGGAGGCUGAGUUUUCUCAUCUGUAAAGUGAGGAUAGUAAAGCGAGGACACGACCUUCUUCAGAAAGCUGAUGGAGAUCUUGGAGUCGAUACUCAAGGGUGUCCGUUGUUCUGCCCUGGGUGUGUUUUUAGACGACGGCUGGGGAAGGAUAAAGGAAGGAGUAAGUCUGAUCUCAAGACAGUGGGUGCUGAGCGGGUGAGAUGGUGUUUAAGCAGCCAGGAGAGGAGGGAGCCAGGCCAGAGGCAGGCUGAAUCCUAAGUAGAGGUCUUGGGGUGAGACAGAGCAGAGCAUUUUCAAGGAGUGAUAGAUUCAGUGCAGUGUGGCCGCAGGCCAGGAUGUGGCCAAGUAGGGAAGCCGUGGCAAGAAUUAAGGCUGGAAGCUUGUAGACUUUGGGAAGGAGGGUGGACUGAAUUCUAAGGGCAGUGGGAACCCUUGGAGCGUGUACGUUGGGGAGAUAGGGAGGGGGGCAGAUGUUGAACUAGCUCAGUGUGUUUUGGACUGUGGUUUGCAGUCCACUAGUGGUUAUGAAGUCGGUUUCGAGGCUCACAACCAGCAUGAAAACCUGAAAGGAAGAGAGAUGUUCCCAGCUGGUUCUUUGCCUGUCAGGAGUUCCUAUGAAUGAUACAGUGAAUGAGGAAAAAACCUCUGUUGAGCCACGGGUCCCAGCUUGGGUUCAGGGUUAUGAAAAAGCCCGUCGGUCGACCCACCUCGCCUGAACACCUGCUGCAGCUCAGCCACUUGAAUGCCUCUCAUAGGACUGAAACCCUGGGUGGUGGAAAACUUGUAUCUGUAUCCCCAGGUGGACAGAAAUGAGUGACAGUGCCCUGUCUGUCAUUUGGAAAUUCCGUCCAGUGGCAAGUAACGUGGGGGCCCCUUAGCAGCGAGACAGACUGGAGGGUAUUGCGGUUUUAGUGGGAUGCGUUGUCUCCUUGAAUAAAAUACGGUCUUGCGAACGAAGAAGGGAGAGAGGGCACUGUGGGCCAGCUAGCAAUGUCUGCUGCAGUGCACGUCGUUCCUACUCUUAAUACACAACCAGAUGGUGGGGGGAGGCAUGGAAAGACGUGAUUACUGAAGGGGCACGAGAUCUGUGGACCUAUGCAUCUGAAAAUGCGUAACUUAAGAAUAAUGGCUCACAGCAUCGACACUCAGUCAGGGUCCAGUUAGGAGAGCAAGGACGGUGCGGCGGGUGUGAGGGGCAUCGGUGCCCCCGAGCACAGGUGUCACCCAGUUAGUCCACGCGGGGCCCCGCUGAAAGGCAGCACACCCCAGCUGGCGCUGACUGUGCUGAGCCCCGCACCACCUAACUCAGAGCUUUGGCUGUCCCAGGGACGGAAUCUUAAACCGCUGAAUCAGGAUCCAGUGCCAGUUAAGCCAUCUGCCUGGUAGACCCCUGCCACCUCCUAGAGGAAAUCAGCCUCUUGGAGCUUCUUUCUGUCUGCUAGAUUAGAUGCUACACUGGAGUCACGAGUUGUUGAAUUAAAAACCGGUAAGGUCUUCAAGGUCUGCUCACUUGGAGUCUGGUUUUUGACAGCCCCUUCGUGAAGAUGCUCUGGGAUUGCAAUCUCACGUGGGGGCUUGUGCAAGGUCACCGGCCCUGGCUGCCUGCCGCCAGGUCUGUGCUGCCCACCGGGGCGGCCAUCCUGCCCCCGGCCGGGUGCGCGGUGCUCAGCGCCGGAAAUGAGUUGCUGGUCCCUUUCUUUGAGAAGCUCAGGGUCAAGUUGGGGAGACAGACGUCGAAAAAUAAAUCUGUUCUGUUGGGAUAUUUUGUAAGUAGCAAUUUUUUAGGACGUUUUCUCAGCCUGUGCGCUGCGAACGCGGCCUUCCCCAGCCCACCUAUGCUGUUAUGUUCUCAACAUAAAAUCACCUCAGCUGCAGGGUGACAGGGGCUUGUCGCCCUCAACUCGGUAUUUUAACAGCCUAGUUUGAAGAUGGAAAAAAAUCGAGUUGUAUCAAACACAGUAGUGUGUGCGUCGGUUGGUAAAGGGCAUUUUGUGUUUACGGUAAAGAUGAAAAGAUACCAUACAUUUCAUCCUUAACGCGUGCCUUUUUUAUUUUCCUCCUCACCCGCCUCCCAUUUUGUUAUUUCUAGAAACUUUGGAACCUCAGGAAGCGAAGCACUUUCUCAGCACAAGAAUAACAACAACAACAAAAACCCAAACUCCCACCAAACAUCUCUGCUUUUUCUUUCUUCUCCCCUCACCAGUAAUAUUUUCAAGAUUCAGAAACAACUACAAAAAUACAGUAACAAGAUAAGCAAUACAUUCCCCAAUUUCCCAAUUUUUCCUGCCCUAUUUCAUAUCUAAUAUAUCUGUUAAUCCAGCCUUUCUCCUAAAUUUCUUUGAAAUCUAAUUUUUUCAGAGUGAAAACCUCUGAAGAGUUAUGGAGCAUUUUUGGAAACAGCUUCAUAUUUCUCCCCUGCUUCGGCCAGCGCUCGGCGCAGAUGUGUAACUGGCAUUCUGUAAUCCUGACAGCAGUACCCCGGACGGAUAGGUUCUUGGACCUUGUGCGACUCAGCCAAGUCACACCCCACACUGGUCGCCUUCAUUUAUCAGCUGCACAGUUUCACUAUUUAAAAAUAAGAAUAGAUUUACCUUAUGAUCCAGCAAUCCCACUUCUAGGCAUGUAUCCAGAGGGAACUCUAAUUCAAAAAGAUCCAUGUACCCCAGUGUUCAUAGCAGCACUAUAUACAACAGCCAAGACAUGGAAACAACCUAAAUAUUCAUCGACAGAUGGCUAGAUAAAGAGGUUGUGCUGUAAUUAUACAAUGGAAUACUACUCAGCCAUAAAAAUAAAAUAAUGCCAUUUGCAGCAACAUGGAUGGACCUGGAGAAUGUCAUUCUAAGUGAAAUAAUCCAGAAAGAGAAAGAAAGAAAGCAUAUAUCACUUAUAUGUUGGAAUCUAAAAAAAAAAAAAAAAGAAAA